rnacentral:lncRNA from 1 species
UCUAAAAACGAAGACUUUGAUCUUCAGGGAAGCAGAGAGAGAGACGAUGAUGAACUGACUCUCCAAUAGAAGGACUGACGAUUCCAACAGAGAUCACGACGACACACUGGCCUGGUGCCAAGGUCCGGCCCCGUCCAGAACUUCCUCCCAGGUCCACUUCUCCCGCCAGUCCAACUCGAAUUCCCUCUGCUCCUUCUUCUGCUGCUUGGUCCAUAGUUGGUGGGUGAUUCUGUCACGGUUGUCGUCGGUGAAUGAGGACCAAAACGCAGCAGGAAGAGCUCAUGACGUCUGGCUGCACUUUUGCAGCAUUGAGCUGGAACCCUGAUCCGCCACAGACUCUGGCCUGCCAAACAGCAAUAUCAGAGGACGUCCUGCGCCAGUUUGCAGCCGGAGUGUGGGGUGUCUUUGAGGGGGAUUACCU